UUUGUGUCUGUCUGUAUGAUGCUUUUGCCUGGGACAGAACAGGAAUGGAGUCUUAGAACUUAGACAGCUAUGUGAUCCUACAGCAUCUGGAAGUAACGAGUGCUGGUCAGAGGAGAUGCUGUAACUGGGAGACGCUGCAGCAGUUAAAGUACGGACAAGUGUGACACCUUCCAUUUGGUUCAGAUGCCACGAAAAGUAGCUGAAGGCCGCAGUGCUGUUCAUGAAUCAUGAAAGAAGACUGGUGUUGUGGCAAAACACUAGACUGGAACUCAGAAGAUCUUGGUUCAGUUCCUAGGUAUGCUGCAGACACUCUGUGUGGCUUUGGACAAGGUGCAGAGGCAGAGAUUUUUUCAAAGGAUCACAUGAGACUUAUGUACCCAACUCCCUUGAAAAUCUCCCUCUUAAUCUUUAUGGCAACAGGCUUUGACUGCUAAAAUAUUUGCUUAUUUCCAAGAUAUUCCAAGCUCUUUGCUUAUGUUUCUUCUCUUUACCCCAGCCCACUGCUGUUUAUGUAUUAAACCAAUAGUCCAUUGCUAACAACUAAAACUAGCAUGUGCUAUAAAAAAAAAGUUUUCUGUUAACUACUUAAAAUGCAGCUGUACUCUAAAAAGUCGGAUUAUCUGAUUCCAUUAUCUGAUUCCAUUCCAUUCCAUUGAUGAAUUCCAGAAAAUUUGCUCAGUUUAAAAAAAGAAGAGAGUGGGGUGGGGGAGUCUAACCAUUACAUCUGCAAGUCAAUCUGGGUUCUUUCUAGUUCACACAUCGUCGCAAGUAAUAAAAAUCCUGCUUUCAAAACUUAGUUAACAAUGCUAUUGAUAUGUGUAUCCUCUCAGAGACUGUAAGGCACCAAGAGAGAACCAGUAUAUUCUGAAGGGUGGUGUUCUGACCCCAUUAUCUGCACAGACAGGAAAAUGUUUGAUCUGCAGGCCCCAGUGCAUAGGGAAGCCAUGGUCUCAAUCCAAGACAAAGAGACCAUAUGUGAGAGGUAACCUUGAAUGUUCCUUAGUUUCCAAAUAUGUCAAGUUAGCCCUAAGCUGAUAUGGUCAAAGCAUUUCAGAAACAAUGCAGCUGAAAAAAUGCUGAUUUAUGUUAAUUAAUGCAGAACCUUAAACAAAUUAAAACUACGUGUUAAUUCAGUUGGUGACAGAAGCCAUGCUGAACCAUCAGGGUUUAAUAGCCUGGUCAUUUAUUA